GACGAACGCUGGCGGCGUGCUUGAUACAUGCAAGUCGAACGGACUUCACAUGAAAGCUUGCUGGAUUGUGAAGUUAGUGGCGGACGGGUGAGUAACGCGUGGGUAAUCUGCCCUCAGGUCCGGGACAACAGUUCGAAAGGGCUGCUAAGACCGGAUGACCUUGCGAAGUGGCAUCAUUUUGCAAGCAAAGGCUACGCCUGAGGAUGAGCCCGCGUCCCAUUAGCUAGUUGGCGGGGUAACAGCCCACCAAGGCGACGAUGGGUAGCCGGACUGAGAGGUUGGCCGGCCACACUGGGACUGAGACACGGCCCAGACUCCUACGGGAGGCUG
rnacentral:rRNA from 1 species